CCUACGGGUGGCAGCAGUGAGGAAUAUUGGUCAAUGGGCGUAAGCCUGAACCAGCCAAGUCGCGUGAGGGAUGAAGGUUCUAUGGAUCGUAAACUUCUUUUAUAAGGGAGUAAAGUGUGGGACGUGUCCUAUUUGGUAUGUACCUUAUGAAUAAGGCUCGGCGAAAUCCGUUCCAGCAGCCGCGGUAAUACGGAGGAUCCGAGCGUUAUCCGGAUUUAUUGGGUUUAAAGGGUGCGUAGGCGGCCUUUUAAGUCAGCGGUGAAAGUCUGUGGCUCAACCAUAGAAGUGCCGUUGAAACUGGGGGGCUUGAGUGUGUUUGAGGUAGGCGGAAUGCGUGGUGUAGCGGUGAAAUGCUUAGAUAUCACGCAGAACCCCGAUUGCGAAGGCAGCCUGCCAAGCCAUGACUGACGCUGAUGCACGAAAGCGUGGGGAUCAAACAGGAUUAGAUACCCUUGUAGUC
rnacentral:rRNA from 1 species